UGCAAGUCGAACGCGAAAGGGGCUUCGGCCCUGAGUAGAGUGGCGAACGGGUGAGUAACACGUGGGUGAUCUACCUUCGAGUGGGGGAUAACGUCCCGAAAGGGACGCUAAUACCGCAUGACGUUCUGGGUUUGAAGACCUGGAAACCAAAGCCGGGGACCGCAAGGCCUGGCGCUAGAAGAGGAGCCCGCGCCUGAUUAGCUAGUUGGCGGGGUAACGGCCCACCAAGGCGACGAUCAGUAGCCGGCCUGAGAGGGCGGACGGCCACACUGGGACUGAGACACGGCCCAGACUCCUACGGGAGGCAGCAGUGGGGAAUUGUUCGCAAUGGGCGCAAGCCUGACGACGCAACGCCGCGUGGAGGAUGAAGGUCUUCGGAUUGUAAACUCCUGUUGAUCGGGACGAAUGGGCUCCGGCCUAGUACGGCGGAGCAAUGACGGUACCGAUUGAGGAAGCCACGGCUAACUCUGUGCCAGCAGCCGCGGUAAUACAGAGGUGGCAAGCGUUGUUCGGAAUUACUGGGCGUAAAGGGCGCGUAGGUGGCCUUCUUAGUCAGACGUGAAAUCCCCGGGCUUAACUCGGGAACUGCGUCUGAUACUGGAAGGCUCGAGUUCGGGAGAGGAAUGUGGAAUUCCAGGUGUAGCGGUGAAAUGCGUAGAUAUCUGGAGGAACACCGGUGGCGAAGGCGGCAUUCUGGACCGAAACUGACGCUGAGGCGCGAAAGCCAGGGGAGCAAACGGGAUUAGAUACCCCGGUAGUCCUGGCCCUAAACGAUGAGUGCUUGGUGUGGCGGGUAUCGAUCCCUGCCGUGCCGAAGCUAACGCAUUAAGCACUC
rnacentral:rRNA from 1 species